UGGCAGCACUACCUGCUGUGCCACCAAGCCAUACUCAUAACGUAUAAACCUUUCUUCUUUAAAAUCCACAAUAACAGACCACAGCAUGUGUCAGGAAUUAGCCCUAGAACCUCCAGUGGUUGUGUUCAGCACUGACAUAUUCCUGAUGACAAGCAAAUGACUAUGUACAUAAUAAUCAGUCAGGGGUCUGAUGUGCCAAGGACAGACUUCCCAAAAUUGAGACACCUUGAACACCAAAAUAUUUGAACACUAUGAUCGGUGUGAAUGAACUAAAUAAACACAUGCUAUAAACAUCUGCAUAUGCCCGCUGUAUAAUUGGUGGUGUAUAUGUGUGUUUCAACAAAUGCGUGUAAACAAAAUAUAUCAAUAUGGGAAGCAUUGCAGUGCUAGCUAGCUGAAAUGACAGACAGUGUGAGUUCUUUUAGACGAUGAGCUAUUUAUCUUCCCUAAGCUCACAAACACAAAUGUGUGACCCCAGCCACAGAAAAAACAGGCUGUAUGUGAAUACGCACAGUUCAAGAGAGACUUCCGACUUAAACAAAUAUAUAUAUUAAACACAGAGUGCGAGGAAUUGCAUUCCACCGAAACUAUAGCAGAUACAUAAUACACAUAUAGCUGAGACAUAAUUGUGCAAACAGUCUAUAAGUGCACUUUAUAAUACAGGCAGUAAAAUGUACUGCUAAACACACAGGUUUAAUAACGGCAGAGAUGAGAAAGUUGCGUUUUAAGACUCCGACCUUUUCCACUUCUGAUCUGAGAGUGUUUGACCAGUCUGUAGCUCACUACAGCACACUCGGACCUGAGAUGACUCGGACUGAGAUGAGUCUGACCUGAGAUGACUCGGAGUGAGACGCCUUGGAGUGAGAUUAUUCGGACCUGAGAUGACUCGGAGUGAGAUGAGUCUGACCUGAAAUGAGUCGGAGUGACAUGAUUCGGACCUGAGAUGACUUGGACCUGAGACGCCUCGGAGUGAGAUGAUUCGGACCUGAGAUGACUCGGAGUGAGAUGAGUCUGACCUGAGAUGAGUCGGAGUGAGAUGAGUCGGACCUGAGAUGACGUGGAACUGAGAUGAUGCGGAACUGAG
ensembl:lncRNA